rnacentral:rRNA from 1 species
AGAGUUUGAUCCUGGCUCAGGACGAACGCUGGCGGCGUGCUUAACACAUGCAAGUCGAACGCUGAACCACUUUCGGGUGGGGAUGAGUGGCGAACGGGUGAGUAACACGUGGGUAAUCUGCCCUGCACUCUGGGAUAAGCCUUGGAAACGAGGUCUAAUACCGGAUAUCACAACUUCUCGCAUGGGGGGUUGUUGAAAGUUCCGGCGGUGCAGGAUGAACCCGCGGCCUAUCAGCUUGUUGGUGGGGUAAUGGCCUACCAAGGCGACGACGGGUAGCCGGCCUGAGAGGGUGACCGGCCACACUGGGACUGAGACACGGCCCAGACUCCUACGGGAGGCAGCAGUGGGGAAUAUUGCACAAUGGGCGCAAGCCUGAUGCAGCGACGCCGCGUGAGGGAUGACGGCCUUCGGGUUGUAAACCUCUUUCGCCAGGGACGAAGCGCAAGUGACGGUACCUGGAUAAGAAGCACCGGCUAACUACGUGCCAGCAGCCGCGGUAAUAC